UACGUAGGGUGCGAGCGUUGUCCGGAAUUAUUGGGCGUAAAGAGCUCGUAGGCGGCUUGUCGCGUCGGAUGUGAAAGCCCGGGGCUUAACUCCGGGUCUGCAUUCGAUACGGGCAGGCUAGAGUUCGGUAGGGGAGAUCGGAAUCCCUGGUGUAGCGGUGAAAUGCGCAGAUAUCAGGAGGAACACCGGUGGCGAAGGCGGAUCUCUGGGCCGAUACUGACGCUGAGGAGCGAAAGCGUGGGGAGCGAACAGG
rnacentral:rRNA from 1 species